AGAGUUUGAUCCUGGCUCAGAUUGAACGCUGGCGGCAGGCCUAACACAUGCAAGUCGAACGGUAACAUUUCUAGCUUGCUAGAAGAUGACGAGUGGCGGACGGGUGAGUAAUGCUUGGGAACUUGCCUUUGCGAGGGGGAUAACAGUUGGAAACGACUGCUAAUACCGCAUAAUGUCUUCGGACCAAACGGGGCUUAGGCUCCGGCGCAAAGAGAGGCCCAAGUGAGAUUAGCUAGUUGGUAAGGUAACGGCUUACCAAGGCGACGAUCUCUAGCUGUUCUGAGAGGAAGAUCAGCCACACUGGGACUGAGACACGGCCCAGACUCCUACGGGAGGCAGCAGUGGGGAAUAUUGCACAAUGGGGGAAACCCUGAUGCAGCCAUGCCGCGUGUGUGAAGAAGGCCUUCGGGUUGUAAAGCACUUUCAGUUGUGAGGAAAAGUUAGUAGUUAAUACCUGCUAGCCGUGACGUUAACAACAGAAGAAGCACCGGCUAACUCCGUGCCAGCAGCCGCGGUAAUACGGAGGGUGCGAGCGUUAAUCGGAAUUACUGGGCGUAAAGCGCACGCAGGCGGUUUGUUAAGCUAGAUGUGAAAGCCCCGGGCUCAACCUGGGAUGGUCAUUUAGAACUGGCAGACUAGAGUCUUGGAGAGGGGAGUGGAAUUCCAGGUGUAGCGGUGAAAUGCGUAGAUAUCUGGAGGAACAUCAGUGGCGAAGGCGACUCCCUGGUCAAAGACUGACGCUCAUGUGCGAAAGUGUGGGUAGCGAACAGGAUUAGAUACCCUGGUAGUCCACACCGUAACGCUGUCUACUAGCUGUGUGUGCCUUUAAGGCUGUGCGUAGCGAAGCUAACGCGAUAGUAGACCGCCUGGGGGGAGUACGGCCGCAAGGUUAAAACUCAAUGAUUGACGGGGGCCGCACAGCGGGUGGAGCAUGUGUUAUCGAUGCACGCGAGACCUUAACUAACUGACAUGGCAGGACGUCCUAGAAAUGAUGGGUGCUCGAAUUGACAGGUGCUGCAUGGCUGCCUCAGCUCGGUUCUGGAAGUAGUAAGUUCGACAGGCCAACUUGCUAUAGCGACAAUUAGUGCACCCUCUGAGGAAACUG
rnacentral:rRNA from 1 species